rnacentral:tRNA from 2 species
GCGGGUGUGGCGGAACUGGCAGACGCGCUAUCUUGAGGGGGUAGUGCCCUCUAAGGGCGUGUGGGUUCAAGUCCCACCACCCGCA